UUUGUUCAUAGGUAUCCUCAGGUCCUUUUCUGAAAAACUGUUUUGGUGCUUCAGCUGAUUGUUCCCCAGCAUGUGCUUGUCCGGGGAGUUCUUCCUCCCUAGGUGUAGGACGUAGCAUUUACCUUAGCUGAAUUAUAUGAAGUUCCUGUUUACCCUUUGCUCCAUCUUGUUGAGGUCCCUUUGAAUAGCAGCACAACCAUCUUGUUUAUCAGAUCCCCUUCCCAAUUUUGUAAAAGUACAGACUGCGCAGACCUGUCUUCGAAAAAUAGUAGGACAUAUCAUGCUGACAGGCUCUGAUCUUGCUGAGGGAAUUCAAUCAACCUGACAUCUCUUGUAAAAGGGGAGCAGCAAGGAGUCCAGAUUUGCAGAGAGAAGCCCUUAUGCACCAACCCCAGUCUCCUGCACCUCACCAAAGGAACUGCAGCAAAACCAAGGAAAUCAAGACUGAGAAGUGGGGAGGAAACGUGUUUGUCUAUGCUGACCCUGGAGAAGAGACACAAGAUG